rnacentral:tRNA from 1 species
GGAGGGUGUAGCUCAGGGGUAGAGCAUGUGCUUAGCAUGCACGAGGUCCUGGGUUCAAUCCCCAGCAUCUCCA